rnacentral:lncRNA from 1 species
ACGGACCUAGUUGUGCAAGUUUAAAUUCUAAUUCAGGAAGGUAGUUACAAAAAGUGUGAAACUCAUUGUCACUGGGAUUUUCCCACAACUCACAACUCGGUGUCCGCUGCUUGUUAAUUGUUACCUAGAGCCUCACUAUUUGUUUUUCUCCUUCCAGGACUCAUCUGCAAUGGGAAAGGGUAAAAGUCUAGGGCCCAGCCUUUCAGUAUUUGCCUCCUUCCUUAAGACCCAUUGGGAUGAGGAAGAGGUCAAUGCUUGCUUUGGGAGGAGAUGCUGGGGAUGCUUCCCUCGGGGCCCAUUUUUACUGGGAAAGGAUGCACUGGGAGAGGUUUCCUGUUUGGCUAAUUUCCCCUGCCUCCUCCCAAGUCACUCCGUCCCUCCACUUUUCCCAGGGGGCUGUCUUUUAGGGAUAUUAUUUUCCAAAACCCUUCACCUAAUCCAUCAAAGUUGACAGUCAAGAAGUAUUCAUUGAAUGGAUGAGCAAACAAUAGAUAAAAAGCAAGUUCAGAGGAUGGGAAAGAAGAAAGAAUUUAAAAUCUAGAGAAAGGACCAGUGAACAGAAUGGAUGAAUUAACAUGGUUAGAAUCUAACCAAUGAACCACAGGUGGUGAAUGCUAGUAAUAUCAGGAGUAAUAUCUAUACAAAAGAGACAAGUCUUCAAAAGAGUCACACCAGAACAACAAACCCCAAAAUUUUUCACCACAAUAGCUUGACCUGCUGAUGAAAAUUCAAAUUUGAAGUCACCCCC